UACGUAGGCAGCGAGCGUUGUUCGGAGUUACUGGGCGUAAAGCGUGCGUAGGCGGUUGUCUAAGUUUGGUGUGAAAUCUCCUGGCUUAACUGGGAGGGUGCGCCGAAAACUGGGUGACUGGAGUGUCGGAGAGGUAAGCGGAAUUCCUGGUGUAGCGGUGAAAUGCGCAGAUAUCAGGAGGAACACCGAUGGCGAAGGCAGGUCUCUGGGCCACUACUGACGCUGAGAAGCGAAAGCAUGGGGAGCGAACAGG
rnacentral:rRNA from 1 species